rnacentral:rRNA from 1 species
GCCUAAUGGUUGUAACCUCUUUUCUCUGGGAAGAUGAUGACGGUACCAGAGGAAUCAGCCUCGGCUAACUCCGUGCCAGCAGCCGCGGUAAUACGGAGGAGGCAAGCGUUAUCCGGAAUUAUUGGGCGUAAAGCGUCCGUAGGUGGUUAGACAAGUCAGCUGUUAAAGCGUGGGGCUUAACUCCAUAAGGGCGGUUGAAACUGUUUAACUUGAGUGCGGUAGGGGUUACGGGAAUUCCCAGUGUAGCGGUGAAAUGCGUAGAUAUUGGGAAGAACACCGGUGGCGAAAGCGCGUAACUGGGCCUGCACUGACACUGAGGGACGAAAGCUAGGGGAGCGAAUGGGAUUAGAUACCCCAGUAGU